GGAAAGAUUAAAUAUUUCAUUAUACUUUUAUUUUGUAUUCAGAUUUUGACAUUUAAACCAUCUAAGUGUGACAGUCCGAGUGAGCUGCUGGUAGUUUUCCACUGAGCUCCAGAUUCUCCUGUGUCCGCCCCUGGGCGGAGCUGUCAUCUCCUCACCUGCCCAACUCACCUGGAAUUAAUCCAGCGCAAUCUACUGAGAAUAUUCAAGACCAGCGUCUUCAUUGCUUGUUGGUCAAUUUACCCACAUUGCUCUCUGGUCACAGCAGCUGUUUCACGCUCUGACUCCUGGGAAGGAUUUCACUAUGGCACCUGCCUGCCCUCUUUCCACUGUUUUGCACUGGAUCCCUUUUAACUCGGGUCAGCCCAGCAUCACUCUCUUCAGCUCACCCAGAUCUUCAGCUGCUCCUCAAAGUGUCACCAACUCUGCCUGCAACAUGAGUCAUAUUCCUCUUUCAAAUACAUUCAAGCCUGGAGAAGGUUCAUACCCACGCUAAUCACCCACUCCUCUGUCCACAGUUACAGCUUUAGAUCUCCACACCACGAGUCGUGUUCAAACAUCAAGCCCUGAAUCCCUCAGCAAGUUUAUUCCUUUGCUUAAACUUGUAAAUAAAGUUUGUGAAAAUUG